rnacentral:snoRNA from 1 species
UAUUAAGGAUGAACACAUCCCAACCUGAUUCCUGUAAGAUUGACAACUGCGGAUCUGACUUCUGAAAU